GUGCCAGCAGCCGCGGUAAUACAGAGGGUGCAAGCGUUAAUCGGAAUUACUGGGCGUAAAGCGUGCGUAGACGGUUAUUUAAGUCGGAUGUGAAAUCCCCGGGCUCAACCUGGGAAUUGCAUUCGAAACUGGAUGGCUAGGGUGCGGAAGAGGGAAGCGGAAUUUCCGGUGUAGCGGUGAAAUGCGUAGAUAUCGGAAGGAACAUCAGUGGCGAAAGCGGCUUCCUGGUCCAGCACCGACGUUCAGGCACGAAAGCGUGGGGAGCAAACAGGAUUAGAUACCCUGGUAGUCCACGCCAUAAACGAUGAGAACUAGACGUUGGGAGGGUCAGCCUCUCAGUGUCGUAGCUAACGCGCUAAGUUCUCCGCCUGGGGAGUACGGCCGCAAGGUUGAA
rnacentral:rRNA from 1 species